rnacentral:rRNA from 1 species
UACGUAGGUGGCAAGCGUUGUCCGGAUUUAUUGGGUUUAAAGGGUGCGUAGGCGGUCUAUUAAGUCAGCGGUGAAAUACUCCAGCUUAACUGGAGGGGUGCCAUUGAUACUGAUGGACUUGAGUCAAGUCGAGGUAGGCGGAAUUGACGGUGUAGCGGUGAAAUGCUCAGAUAUCGUCAAGAACACCAAUAGUGAAGACAGCUUACUGGGCUUAAACUGACGCUGAGGCACGAAAGUGUGGGGAUCAAACAGG